CCUAAUAGUGGGCAGCCAUCCGAUGCCUGUGGACAAAAGAGCGAAGCCCGCAAGACCCGCAAACAACCCGCAGCUGCUCCUCCUCUCGUCCUCCCUCACGUAACCUAGCGGCGGCCGCCGCCGGCACAACCAUCGAUCUCCACCCACCCGCACCAACUUGUUGUGCUACUGCGCCCCGGGCUCCCUGCCGCCUGCGUGAGGCGAGCGAGGCCACUAGCGGGGAUUACUCCAUGGUGGUGCCGAGGAUGGGGAGGAUGGGGAGGAGGAGGGCUCUGACGAGGAGGAGGACCGGCGGCCGACCGGGAGCACCGAAGUCAGUCAUUGUUGAGAUGGAAGUCCCCAGUAAGGAAGCGGAUUGUGAUGUCCCCGUUACUGAAGAGGAGGAUAAUGUCACCAAGGAUGGGCCAUUGUAGAGCAGAGCACUUGAGGUCCCCUUCUGCAAUCAGGGAUGAAUCAGUACCUUUGUAGCUGUCCUGCUUUGAACAUGAGAGAAACCUUGUAGCUGUUGUUUCUGUAAUUCCAGUCAUGGAGCACUUGUCAAUGCUUGUGGUCACUAAUUCUGUGCAUAGGUUCUAUCAAUGUUUGUUAUUCUAUCAAUGAUUGUUCUGAAAUCAGAGCUCUAAACUCUAAAUAACUAUGAUCAGAUGUACAGAAUUGUAGAAUACUGAAACCUGAUGGUCUUAGUGUUUACAGAUGCAAAUUGACAGAAGCUGACCAUUGCCCUCGGUGGCGAAGUAUCAUGCUGUGUCGAAAGCUGCGAUGAGCAGACUGUCCAGCUCUCUCUCUCUCUCUCUCAAGCUGCGAUCACAUUCUCUGCUCCUGUUUGAUGUCCCUGUUGGUAUUAGUCUACUUUUGUUUGAUGAUACUGCACCGGUCUGCUCUUGUUUGAUGUACAUGGGAUCAGUUUGCUCUUGUUUGGUGCCACUAGGAUUAGCCUGCUCUGCUUUGAUAAUUUUCUUAUUGCCUAUCUCAUUUGACCUGUUUUGUAAAAUAAGGAUAGAUAACAGUUCCGUUCAGCAUAUGCUCAUGAUAUGCGACAACUGACACUGGUAUUAGCUUGCUC